UACUAAUUAGCACAUUCUGCUAGCACAUCUGUGGGAAAAGAGACGCGAUCUUACUGCAUUGACCAGGAUGGUCUCAAACUCCUGGCUACAGGCUAUCCUCCUGCCUCUGUCUCCCAAAGCGCUGGGAUUACAAGCGUGAGCCACCAGGCCUGGCCCAAUUGCUUCUUAACAACUUACUAUUCUUUGUUCACUACAGUGUAUACAUAACUGACUUUUUAUUUGGAUCUUCAUUUUGUAAUGAAGGCUCUGGUCACAUGUAAGACUUGUAUUAAAUAAAUUUGCC
rnacentral:lncRNA from 1 species